AGGCGUAUGUGCAACUGAACCUUCAAGUAGAGACAUAAGAUGAUUUUUAACUUUGAUUAGAAGCUUUUCAAGAUAAUCUCUUCCUGUUUUGUCCUCUGGCAAGAGCUCCCCUUCCUUCAUUUGGUCACAGAGUGGUUUUCUUUUAAAAGAACUAUUCAGCUUUUGGAAAACCGACAAGAAGAAACUGAGAGAAUUCACACACCACAGAAAACUGGGUACACAGCUGCUACUAAACUUCAUUGUCCUUUUAUCUCCAGCCUCUCCACCAACAGAAAGACACAGAAGGAAAGAGAAAGAGAGACAGAGAAUGAAUCUGAAGUCUGAAACCUUGUAGUUCGUUUGAACCAGUCAGUUCUUGUUCAGAAAGGAAGAGGAAGGGCAGGAGUGGCUAUUGGCGCCAGAGGGAGGGUUAGUGACUCAGUCCUACCCUCCUAACAGAUUAAACACCAAGGAACACAAGCCUUGGAACCAGACCUGGCUCUGACCCUCUGCCCCGCCCCUUGUAGUGUGACAGGGAAGCUCCAGUUCCCUUAUCAUACCUCAAUUUUAUCCAUAAAGUGGCGACAUGAGGAAAAUGCCCAGCAUUUAAGUUUCACUCUUAUUGCCCAGGCUGGAGUGCAAUGGCACAAUCUCGGCUCACCACAACCUCCGUCUCCCGGGUUCAAGUGAUUCUCCUGCUCCAGGCUCUCAAGUAGCUGAGAUUACAGACUAACGAUCUUCUGUUGGUCCCUUCUGGUAGGGCCGAGGAGACCCCAGCAUCACGAAUUAAUUUGGGAUUACAGCCAAGCAAGUUUAAUGUUUCGAAAUAUCAUACACAAUGCAGCUGAGCGCCAAUUUUAUUCCCUGGGUUAGUACUAAUCAGCAAAAUGUACGUAAGGGCCUCAAGAACAGACUGCCCUGAACGUUCCUGUGUGUUGCUCCAGGUACCACCUACUCAUCCUCCAAUAUCCAGCUGGCACCUCCUCUGGGAAGACUUCCUGGAUAUUUCAGGUUGAUUUAGCAGCAUGCUAUGUGUAUCACACUGAAAUGGCCUACAUCCAGAAGCUGACACAUGGUAAAGAAUUAAAAGUUUCUUGAAAGAAUGCAUUAAUGCAACUUAUUUUCUGCUUCUAUUGUUUUUCUUGUAGUAUACCAACUAGGACACUUUUUGAAGAAACUGCAAUUCUUCUCAGCAUUCAAUUCUGUCCAGUGGCAAAGGUGAUCAGGAGAUUCAAAGUAGUAAAAAUAAUCCCCAAAGUAGUGCUACCACUAGGCCCUGGAAACCAACCUCACAUACUAAAGACAGACUGAAGAUCUGCAUUGAGCUAAGCCCUAAUUAUGUUCAGUGUUCUUAACUUUGAAUCUAGACUCCCAGGCUUUGUACUAUGCCGUAACCAAUUGGGCAACUAAAUGAUGACCGGUACAGCACAGCUGCUAAGAUCACAGACUAAUCCAAACUGCCCGGGUCUGUACCUUGCUUCAGCCACUGUCUAGCUGUGUGUCUUGGGCAAGUUAGUUAAUCCCUUUAUGCCUCAGUUUGCUUAUCUGUAAGAUGGGAACAAUAUUAACAGUACUGACCUCAUAGAAUAAAUGAUUUCACAUACGUGAAUGGUUACAACAGUGCUUUGCACAAAUUAAGUACUACUUAACCAGCUAUUUUUUGUAUUUCUUCUAUUAACUGGCAAACACAGAGAGAGAGGAAUAUCUAAGAAGCAAAUCAGAGGUAAUUUCAGGGUGUCUCUUUGCUGUGUGGAGACACUCCUGGCUCUCCUAGUGCCCACUUAAUUAAUUCACAGAUCAGAAUUGCAAGACCUAUGUCUAAUAUUGCCAGGGGUCUGCAGAAGAGACAUUGUCCUCCUUCCAGCUGGCUCCUCCAACACAGCCAAAGCAACAUGGGUUGUUCAUUCCUUACACAUCAACUAUAGCUGUGGGAACAAUGAGUUCUGCCUUUUUUUCCCUGUCCACUGCUUUCAUAUUUAAGGUUGCUCCUGUGUCAGUAGUGAUUAUCUCAGAAGAUCUCCCUGUAUAUAAGGCCCCAUGAACAAGAAAAUUUUGUAUCAAUUAACAAGAGACAAGCUUAGGGGAAGAAGUGCUUCCUGAACAUCACCUGCAGACUAGACUAUAGCACUCUUGUGGGAUCCCAACAAAUACGUCGUCCACCCCGCUCCCAACUAUUUAAAGAAUAUUUGAAAGCACUCGAAUUCUUUGGCAUAAACACUCUUUGAAAUGCAAGUUAUGUCGAAUCCUAGAAUUUUACUUCUGGAAGAUGUGGUGGGAGAUUAUAUAAAAUGGGGAAUCAGUGACCCAGCACCAUGGCUUCCCAGCUCCUCUGCACGCCCCCCCAUAUUUCCCAACCCUUGCAUUUGAAAUUUAAAAUGUUCUUUAAAAAAUUAAAGGCUUUCAGUGUUGAGUGAUAGUCACGCACUGCAUAAGGAUAUUUCAGUCAACAAUGGACCAAAUAUAUGACAGUAGUCGCGUAAGAUUAUAAUGAAGCUGAAAAAUUCCUACAGCCUAAUGAUGUCACAGCUGUCAUGUCAUAGCAUUUUUUUUAAAUAUAGUGUAGCCUAAGUUUAUAAUAUUUAUAAAGUCUACAAUAGUGUAACGUCCUAGGCCUUCACAUUCACUCACCACUCACUGACUCACCCAGAGCAACUUCUAGUCCCACAAGCUCCAUGCA
rnacentral:lncRNA from 10 species